AACGAAGGGGGCUAGCGUUGAUCGGAAUUACUGGGCGUAAAGCGCACGUAGGUGGCGACGUAAGUCGGGUGUGAAAGCCCCGGGCUCAACCUGGGAAUUGCAUUCGAGACUGCAUUGCUGGAGUACGGAAGAGGAGGGCGGAAUUCCCGGUGUAGCGGUGAAAUGCGUAGAUAUCGGGAGGAACAUCAGUGGCGAAGGCGGCCCUCUGGUCCAGUACUGACACUCAAGUGCGAAAGCGUGGGGAGCAAACAGG
rnacentral:rRNA from 1 species